rnacentral:rRNA from 1 species
CAGAGUUCAUGCCCGAAAGGGUAGACCUCCCACCCUUGUGUAUUAUUACCUUGUUGCUUUGGCGAGCUGCCUCGGGCCUUGUAUGCUCGCCAGAGAAUAUCAAAACUCUUUUUAUUAAUGUCGUCUGAGUACUAUAUAAUAGUUAA